AUUGAACGCUGGCGGCAUGCCUUACACAUGCAAGUCGAACGGUAACAGGUCUUCGGAUGCUGACGAGUGGCGUACGGGUGAGUAAUACAUCGGAACGUGCCUAGUAGUGGGGGAUAACUACUCGAAAGAGUGGCUAAUACCGCAUGAGAUCUACGGAUGAAAGCAGGGGAUCGCAAGACCUUGUGCUACUAGAGCGGCCGAUGGCAGAUUAGGUAGUUGGUGGGAUAAAAGCUUACCAAGCCGACGAUCUGUAGCGGGUCUGAGAGGACGAUCGGCGACACUGGGACUGAGACACGGCCCAGACUCCUACGGGAGGCAGCAGUGGGGAAUUUUGGACAAUGGGCGCAAGCCUGAUCCAGCAAUGCCGCGUGCAGGAUGAAGGCCUUCGGGUUGUAAACUGCUUUUGUACGGAACGAAAAGCCCUGGGUUAAUACCCUGGGGUCAUGACGGUACCGCAAGAAUAAGCACCGGCUAACUACGUGCCAGCCGCCGCCGUAACAC
rnacentral:rRNA from 1 species